AUCGUUUUUCGGCGUUUUAGCUAAAAUCUAAGCGUAGUAUUUGUUCUUAUCAUUAUCAGUUUGACGUCUGAUACAUUCUGUAUCUGAGGAAAAUAAGUUAGAUGGGUUUUUGGAGCAGGGAGAUGGCAUAGGAGCUUGUCCUGUCCACUGCACGUAUCGACAAGAAUGGUGCACUUCCUUGAGGGAUACAAUGUCU
rnacentral:snRNA from 1 species